GACGGAGGGUGCAAACGUUGUUCGGAAUCACUGGGCAUAAAGCGCACGUAGGCGGUGCACUAAGUCAGGUGUGAAAGCCCCCGGCUCAACCGGGGAAUGGCAUCUGAUACUGGUGUGCUCGAGGACGGUUGGGGUGAGUGGAACUCCUGGUGGAGCGGUGAAAUGCGUAGAUAUCAGGAGGAACACCGGUGGCGAAAGCGGCUCACUGGGCCGUCUCUGACGCUGAGGUGCGAAAGCUAGGGUAGCGAACGGG
rnacentral:rRNA from 1 species